CUGCAGUCAGUUAAGCUGAGUGUUUUCUUUCUUGGAGGCCCUGUUUGCAAUAGCCUCAAACAGCAAUCUCCAUUGUAAUGUUUGCCACCUAUUGCUUAUACAGGUUGCCCUAAGGGACCUUGGAAACAGCC
ensembl:snoRNA SNORA70 Small nucleolar RNA SNORA70